GGCAGUGUGGUGCAGUGGUUGGAGCUUUGGACUAUGACUCUGAAGACCAGGGUUCAAAUCCCUAUUUGGCCA